rnacentral:rRNA from 1 species
CCUACGGGCGGCAGCAGUGAGGAAUAUUGGUCAAUGGCCGGAAGGCUGAACCAGCCAAGUAGCGUGAGGGAAGACUGCCCUAUGGGUUGUAAACCUCUUUUAUGCGGGGAGAAAGGGGUCCACGUGUGGAUGUUUGCAGGUACCGCAUGAAUAAGGACCGGCUAAUUCCGUGCCAGCAGCCGCGGUAAUACGGAAGGUCCGGGCGUUAUCCGGAUUUAUUGGGGUUAAAGGGAGCGUAGGCCGGUCUUUAAGCGUGCCGUGAAAUUUUGGGGCGCAACCAUGCGAGUGCGGCGCGAACUGGAGCCCUUGAGUGCGCGGCAGGCCGGCGGCAUUCGUGGUGUAGCGG